GACGAACGCUGGCGGCGUGCUUAACACAUGCAAGUCGAACGGAAAGGCCCUGCUUUUGUGGGGUGCUCGAGUGGCGAACGGGUGAGUAACACGUGAGUAACCUGCCCUUGACUUUGGGAUAACUUCAGGAAACUGGGGCUAAUACCGGAUAGGAGCUCCUGCUGCAUGGUGGGGGUUGGAAAGUUUCGGCGGUUGGGGAUGGACUCGCGGCUUAUCAGCUUGUUGGUGGGGUAGUGGCUUACCAAGGCUUUGACGGGUAGCCGGCCUGAGAGGGUGACCGGCCACAUUGGGACUGAGAUACGGCCCAGACUCCUACGGGAGGCAGCAGUGGGGGAUAUUGCACAGUGGGCGGAAGCCUGAUGCAGCAACGCCGCGUGCGGGAUGACGGCCUUCGGGUUGUAAACCGCUUUCGCCUGUGACGAAGCGUGAGUGACGGUAAUGGGUAAAGAAGCACCGGCUAACUACGUG
rnacentral:rRNA from 1 species